CUUUCUUUAAUGUGAGAAAUUGAUGUUUCUUUGUCAUACAUAAUAAAAAACUGAAUAUCUUUGGAUUUGUUGGUUGGACAAAAGACAUUUGAGAACACCACCUUUGACUCUGGAAAGUAAAAAUGGACAUUUUCCACAAUUUUUGACAUUCUAUGAAUAAGAUAAUAUAAACUUAAAGAAAUCAACAUUAAUCAGUGACCCUUGCAAUUUUUCAAAAUUAUAUUAUGUAGAGCUCCUUUAAAGACUUUGAGUCAUCAUGUUGUUUGUUGGUGUCCUUGUGUUACUGUGGAGUUACUAUGAGUAGCUUUGGAUGUUAUGUGCAUGUUUUGUCACAUUGUCAGUAGUAUAUUUUAUGUGGAGCCAGCAGGAGAUGCUAAUGUUGCAAUACAGUAGCUAAUGGGGUUCUAAACAAGGAAGCUUUAUUUAUUUACAAUUAUUCAGUUUAUCUGGGAUGAAAUGAAAUGGAGGCAGCACAGCUACAUGAUGGUUAGCGCUGUCACUUCACAGCAAGAAGGUUCUGGGUUUGAGCCCAGGCCGACCCGGUGCCUUUCUGUGCUGAGUUUGUCUGUUCUCCCCGGGUACUCCAGUUUCCUUCCACAGUCCAAAGACAAUGGAAAAUGGAGCUUAGAUCAGAUCGGUGACUGUAAAUUGCUUGCAGGAGUGAGAGUGUGUGGUUGUCUGUCUCUAAGUGCCAGCCCUGUGAUAGACUGGCAACCUGUCUAGGAUGGACCUCACCUCUCCCCCAAAAUCAACUGGGAUUGGUAUUUUUACAAUAUUUGCAAUAUUUUUGGAGGACAGUAAUGUCCCUGCCAUUAUUUGAGCAAACCCGUAAACAUUUCAUUGUAGAAAUUCUGUUUAUUGUCACUUUAUGAUUUGAAUGGAGGUUGCAGGGGCUCUGUUUUGGUAUUUUGUGUCUUUGUACAGAGCUCACACUUGACUGAAGAGAUAUCUGGAACUGUCACUGGGUUGCUCCAUAAUGUUUUAAUUUUAAAGGUUUUAUUUCAUAUUGGAUUGCUCAAAUGUAACAGAUUUGUUGUAUUAAAUCUAUUGUUUUAUUCAUUUGGUGAUAGGCAGGACUCUGACAUGCUCUGUCUUCCAGGAGCAGAGUUUUUUUUUUACCCCAGGUUUUUUCUGCUGAACGUUUUGGAGAACUUCCUGUUAUAUACCGUUAAAAUCGAAAGUAUAAUCGCGCCAUUUUAUCUGCGUCGUGAUAUUCGUUGUGUAGGCUGUUGGUGAUACGUGAGCAGAAAUGGCAGUUCAGGAGCUGCUCUUGGGCGUUCUGGAAGAUCUGUAUGCGGAAGACUUCAAAAAGUUUCAAUGGUUCCUUCCAUCGGAGAGCGAUGGCCGGAUUCUUAAGUCCCAUCUGGAGAACAAAUCCCGAAUAGAAACUGUGAGUAAGGUGUUAUGUAUCUGUACAGAAGAGUCUGAAGCUGUGGACAUCACUGUUAAAAUCUUGAAGAAGAUAGGGAACAACAAUGCUGCAGAAAAAUUAAAGAAGGCAUAUGCAGGAAUAUCUGCAGCCUCCACCACCUCUGCUGCUUUGGCACCUCCUCCAGCUCCUGCUUCGAUAAUGGCUCAGCAAGGGGGCUGGGUUGUCGCCCCGACAAUCACUGGCAACCAAUGUCAAAAUCUGAAUAUAACCAUCAAAAAGCCUUGAUUUGUUUAGUAUUGGUAACAAGUGAAUUAAAAUGGAUUACAUUACCACAAACCAGACAGUAAUCCCAAGGGCUAUCAGCACUGUAUUUUAAUACAUUUUUAUUUGAAAAACACUUUGUGCUAAAUAAAC